rnacentral:misc_RNA from 1 species
UUAAAAAACACCUCAAUCCAAUUACUCUACGAUAUUCUAUAUUCUGUCCCACGGGGAAGGAUGAGAAGCUUCGAAUAAGGUUCGACUCGAGCGAAGCGAGAGAACGUUGCCGCAGGCAACGGCCCGAAGGGCGAAGCGCUUUAGCGCCGAGUAAUCCUUCCCCCACCACUG